rnacentral:miRNA from 1 species
UGCGCUCGGCUCUCUGUGGCACC